AUGAGGAGCUGGUACAAAAUUGAAACAAAGAAAGAAAAUGAAUACUUUUCUUCCAAAAUUAAACCUGAGAGGUUAAAGCUGAGAUACUCCCCUAUCAAGUACUCUGAGGUAUACAUAAAAAAUGCAAAAGAUGACUUUGAGCUGCACUUGAUAAAUGAGGAGAAAAAAUCAAUAUGGGAUGUAGAAAUUCGAGCAGAGGAAUAUGGAAAGACUUCCAGUUUUCCUGACAGUCAAAGAGAUCUGUCCAAGGAAUAUGCUGUAUCGUUUGUGAACAAACACAGGAAUGCUCUCAUUCAGAGGGUCUCACUGGUGGCCCCUAUUGCAGAUGAUCUGAAAUCCUUGCUUGGUGGUGAGAAGUACUCAACUAUCACGAAAUGUGAAACGCCACAGGAGCAGAUGAGGAAGCUCUACUCCUUCCUCUCAGGAGGGCAGAAAAUAGAGGAAAGGUUUUACCUGAGUCUGCUGAAGAACGAGCCUUACCUUGUUGGAGAGUUGGCUGAAGCAAAGACAGAUUGA
ensembl:lncRNA